rnacentral:misc_RNA from 1 species
UUGUACAUCCAUGUUCCAUACUGAUCAUUUUCCCAGAGCACUGCCAGGUACGAUGGGAUGACAAAGACAUGUUCCAUGGAUUUUCUGUUUUCAUCCUCCAUGAUUUUCUUCAGGAAUGCAUUUAUAACCUAUAACCAUGCGCUACUGGCACAAUGCCAGGGAUCCACUAAAGAUUGAGGGGAUGCGGAAGAAUAUCAACCGUCGACUGACCACUGAGUCAAAGAGCUUUGUGUGACAUGCUCUGUAAGCUACUACACACCUGAACUAGACUGCUUCCUCCUUUUUCUGGCUGGUAAUUCUCUGAACCUCUUGGUACACUUUUGUGGAGGAUCACACAAUAAUAUACCAUCCGUUUUAGGAGCAUGAACCAUGAGUUCAUUUGCAACCAUCUGUAAGUCUGAUUUGGCUUUCUGCAGAGCCUUUGCAGAAUCUACCAGGUAUGUCAGACCUUGUAUUGCAGCAAUGACCUCCCUCACAGACUUGGCACUGCUUGCCAGGUGCAGUGAUGAAUCUUCCACUGGAUUUAUCAUGGUAGCUUGUUUAAGGCAAUCAUGAUUGUUGGUGGCAGAUUGGGAUGGGGAAAUUUCUUCAGCUGCUUUAGUGUGUGGAGGAAGAAGGGUCACACAAUCAUCGUCAACAGUGAUGAUUGGAUGAGACCUGUAGAAGUUGGGCAGUGAAGUCCAACUCACACCAGGCACAUGCCGGAACACAGCUGCAAAGUGUUUGCAAGGUAAAUGGACCUUACAGAAUUGCCGACAAGUGCAUGAUGGAAUGGAUUUGGUUUCCUCACUACCCAAGAAGACACUAUAAGUGUGUUUAGUGUCUUCUGAUUUAACCUCAUACAGGCCUCCUUCCACCUCCGUCACCAUGUUUACAGUGAUGGCAGCAGAUUUCUGCUCGAGCACCCUCAUGUGUUUUAUGAAUGGAGCUGGGCGAUGGUGGAAGUCCACGGGAAUGUUCUCCAUCCCCUCCCUCCAUCCCGCUGACAUGGUCACAUUGGCAUCCAGGUACCUACAAAUGCAAUUAGGUGCAGCAAGAGUGAAAGAAGGUGCAAGGUGGCUUGAGAAGAGACACGGUAGUGGAAACGUCCUGUGCUGUUCCCAAAGAACAGAGAAAACAGCUCAUGUGAUCAAGCCCAUUAACUCAUCACUCUCUCUUAUUUCCUACUUAAUGGUCGGAACACAUCAGUGGAAAGAGGGGAAGGCCAGGAGGGUACUCAUUUGUAUGAGUCAGGAUAAGUAUAAAUGAUAGUUUUUCAAUAUUAUGUAUUUUUUAAGAGUAAAAAUAUGUGUAAAAACAGAUAAUGCAGACUUACACAUACAAGACCUAUUUAUCAAACAAAAAGAAGCUAUGAUCUCUGUGUGGGUAUAUAUUCAUAUUUUAUGGAAGAAUUUUAACACAUUCUUUUGGACUUACUUUCGAUGAGCAUCUUCAAAGAAGUUGUCAACCAAGGUAGACAUCAGACCACUUAGAGCUUUCACUCUAAAUGGGGCCAAGUAUUCAUAUUUAAACAGCUUAUUUUGAGCUUCUACACCAUUGUUUGUGUUUACAACAAAUGACAACAAGCUGUUCCUGAAGGCCCAUACCCAUUUCUGAAAAGAUGGAAAGUCAACAUAUUUUGGAAUGUUUGAAACAUUUCUGUGUGAAAUAUAUCUCUUAACAUACAAACUCAAACUUGUAAGAGGGCAGUUUGAUGCUAUGUCAGAUACUACGGUUAAGUUAAGUAACAAAUGGUACAUAAUGCAUCAAAAUUACUUCAGUCAUGUUACUGCCAAAUAUACUAGAAACAUUGGAAAUGGAUUAAUCUACAAUUAGUUCAUACACUUUGCUAAUUCACUUCCCGUGUAAUCGAAACAUUUUAAAUGUCAUGCAAGGUAGACCAUAACUGAUACAUUACCCCCUGUGUAUCGUUUGGUAAAGAAAAAAAUAAUAAUGUACCAUUCCUCAUAUAUGAAUGGUAAUUAUUUAUCCAUGAUUGAUGAUAACUAUACAUGUAGUUACCAACCUUAUAUUUGUCCUCUGCCAGCCAAUGAUUGAUGAUGACAACUAUACAUGUAGUUACCAAGCUUAUAUUUGUCCUCUGCCAGCCAAUGAUUGAUGAUGACAACUAUACAUGUAGUUACCAACCUUAUAUUUGUCCUCUGCCAGCCAAUGAUUGAUGAUGACAACUAUACAUGUGGUUACCAACCUUAUAUUUGUCCUCUGCCAGCCAAUGAUUGAUGAUGUAAUUUCUGAACCUCAAGUUGCUCCAAAUUGAGCUUUGCCUCAGCACCUCUUUGUUUGUCUCAAAUUCCUCAGUUGUUAACGAUUCUGCAACACGCUGUGGAUAAAUAAUUUAAUCAAAUACAAAUCAUAUUCAACCUUUCUUAAAUCCCUGACAAAGGUUCAGAAAUGUUGAUCAGUUGAUAUUGCCAGAUAUUGAUAAUGUACCUAAGAGAGUUCAAUAACGUAUAAUGUUGUGUAAUCUCUAUAUGAGGUUAUACCAUUUAUUACUGUACUUUGUUCAUUAUGAUAACAUGUUCACCAGGUGUGACUUUAUGUAAUGUAUUUUGUCUAAUUAUUGUUCUUACAGACUGUCUUCUUCCACUACUAUGGAAUAAACUCACAACCCAGAGCCUGUGGUUACCACUAUCUCAUGGCUGCAACACAUCCCCUGCUGAUUUGUGGAAUGGACGGACAGAUAACUGUCAAACUUACAUUCAGCAAUCUCAAUAUUUCUUCCUGGUGUUCAGCCACUCCAUUCUUAACAGCAGAUGUCCAACGCUGCCAAGCCUGUUUCCUGUGGAAGUCACAAAUAAAAAUGUCGGCAUCUGCAAGAUAAAGGCUUUUAGGUUGCCACGAUGAAUUAUUCCCCUUGAUGACUCCAAGUGCCUCCCCGACUGAGAAAGAAUCCUCAUGCUCAACAACAAAAGUCGCAACAACGGCAUAUCCUUGGUUAGUUCUUACGCAUAAGAAGAACAGUGGCAGAGCAUACCUCGUUGUUCUUGAGGCGGGGGUCAAUCGGAGCUUUCAAAUCUGCAGCCUGAAAAAGAAUCAAAAUUACAGUUAUAACUGAAGUGAAUUCAAUUCCUAUGUCAUACAGGGGAUAACAGAUGACGAUUUACUGCAGUGAAAGAUGAUCUGUCCAAUGAAGACUGUCAACCAUGAGCAGGAAGAAGUAUGUGUUUGGUGAAGUUGAGAAAUCAGCAUGACCUAAACAUGGCCACCUGCAACUAGCUGUAUUGAAUAACAAGCAAGAAUUUAAGCAGAAAGUAAAAUUGAUUUCAUUGCAACUGAAGUGGUUCAUGUUAUUUUCAGGUGCUACUGGGCUCUUGAUGGAAGAUUGCAAUAAUUGUGAAUGCUUUUUUAAUAAAUAAAAGCCAUCAACCAAUUUAAA